rnacentral:rRNA from 2 species
UGAGGAAUAUUGGUCAAUGGGCGCAAGCCUGAACCAGCCAUGCCGCGUGCAGGAUGACGGUCCUAUGGAUUGUAAACUGCUUUUGUACAGGAAGAAACAGUUCUACGUGUAGAACCUUGACGGUACUGUAAGAAUAAGGAUCGGCUAACUCCGUGCCAGCAGCCGCGGUAAUACGGAGGAUCCAAGCGUUAUCCGGAAUCAUUGGGUUUAAAGGGUCCGUAGGCGGUUUUGUAAGUCAGUGGUGAAAGCCCAUCGCUCAACGGUGGAACGGCCAUUGAUACUGCAAGACUUGAAUUAUUGGGAAGUAACUAGAAUAUGUAGUGUAGCGGUGAAAUGCUUAGAGAUUACAUGGAAUACCAAUUGCGAAGGCAGGUUACUACCAAUAUAUUGACGCUGAUGGACGAAAGCGUGGGGAGCGAACA